rnacentral:sRNA from 1 species
AAUUCUCCUGCCUCAGCUUCCUGAGUUGCUGGGAUUACAGGUGCUUGCCACCAUGCCUGGCUAAUUUUUGUAUUUUUAGUAGAGACAGCGUUUCACCAUGUUGGCCAGACUGGUCUUGAACUCCUAACCUCGUGAUACCUGCCUUUGCCUCCCAAAGUGCUGGGAUUACAGGCGUGAGCCACUGCAUCCAGCCACCUGCCGUGUGUUUUAAACACUGUGAGGUGUGUUCAUGCAACAUUCAAGAAGAGCAGCUCCCCGCCGGCCCAACAGCUCUCCUUCCUGCGCAGCGGCCUCCUGAACACCCUCUACCUGCACAUGCCUGACUGCCCAGUGCCCCUGCUCCAGUGGCUGUUCCAGCUGGUGACAUGGCCUCCAGAAACGUCUUUGGGAGCCUUUGGUCUUCUGUGGGAUCUCAUUGUGGAUGGAAUCUUCCUUCAGCCUGAUGAAGACAAGCACCUGUGGUGCCCCUCACUGCAAGAAGUCAGGGAGGCAUUCCACAGCCUGGGUGCCCACAGUCCUGCCCUGUACCCUCUGGGGCCCUUUUGGCACGGUGGCAGGGUGCUUCCAGGCGA